AGGACUGAGCCCACCACUGUAUAUCUGCCAGUCAUUCCAACACUUCUCAUCCUGCCCAUCUGCUUCAUAAUCUUCAUCAACUUCAGCAACAAAGGAGGGUGUUCACAGCAAAUCAAGAGAACGACACCUUUGAAAAGGAAUGAUCCAGGGUCAUCCAGCAUUCCUGAGCCUCAUCAGGCCCAGCAGCCGUUGACCUCAGGUACUGGCUGUACUCGAACUGACCAAUCACCAUCCAUUUCAGACACUGUAACAUCGAGUGUGUGAAGCAUCAACACAGUGGACAGACCUGCAGUGACAGAGUACCACCCUCACUGUACAGCCUGACCACUUUGGACUAACUCUCUUCCCAUUCAGUGUGACCCAGUGAG